rnacentral:rRNA from 1 species
GAUGAACGCUAGCUACAGGCUUAACACAUGCAAGUCGAGGGGAAACGAUAUUGGAAGCUUGCUUCCGAUAGGCGUCGACCGGCGCACGGGUGAGUAACGCGUACCCAACCUGCCCACCACUUGGGGAUAACCUUGCGAAAGUAAGACUAAUACCCAAUGAUAUCUCUAGAAGACAUCUGAAAGAGAUUAAAGAUUUAUCGGUGAUGGAUGGGGAUGCGUCUGAUUAGCUUGUUGGCGGGGUAACGGCCCACCAAGGCAACGAUCAGUAGGGGUUCUGAGAGGAAGGUCCCCCACAUUGGAACUGAGACACGGUCCAAACUCCUACGGGAGGCAGCAGUGAGGAAUAUUGGUCAAUGGACGAGAGUCUGAACCAGCCAAGUAGCGUGCAGGAUGACGGCCCUAUGGGUUGUAAACUGCUUUUAUAAGGGAAUAAAGUGAGUCUCGUGAGACUUUUUGCAUGUACCUUAUGAAUAAGGACCGGCUAAUUCCGUG